AAAGCCACACGCACAGAGUCGGAGGCUGCAGCGGCGGCGGCGGCGGCGAAAUGGCUCCGAUCGCGGCGCCAAGGAAGGCGGGAUCUCCCUUUCUGGGCUAAGAAAGCUGCCAUAAUGUUGUGAGAAACUGAAGCCUCUGGCCAAGAGCCAGCAAGGAACAGAGGCCUGCCCACAACUAUAGUGAUACAUGGAUCAUUCAAGAACCCACAGAUGUUUUCCAUUCCCCAUCCUCUGCUGUUAGAAGCACAGUCAGAAAUUCCCAACCUACGAAAAAAUCUGAGGAUGGCACUAUGAUCUGGACUCCAG